GAUGAAGAACGCAGCGAAAUGCGAUAAGUAGUGUGAAUUGCAGAAUUCAGUGAAUCAUCGAAUCUUUGAACGCACAUUGCGCCCCUUGGUAUUCCAUGGGGCAUGCCUGUUCGAGCGUCAUUUGUACCUUCAAGCAUUGCUUGGUGUUGGGUGUUUGUCUCGCCUUUGCGUGUAGACUCGCCUUAAAAUAAUUGGCAGCCGGCGUAUUGAUUUCGGAGCGCAGUACAUCUCGCGCUUUGCACUCAUAACGACAGCGUCCAAAAGUACAUUUUACACUCUUGACCUCGGAUCAGGUAGGGAUACCCGCUGAACUUAAGCAUAUCAAUAAGCGGAGGA
rnacentral:misc_RNA from 1 species